AGCAGCCGCGGUAAUUCCAGCUCCAAUAGCGUAUAUUAAAGUUGUUGCAGUUAAAAAGCUCGUAGUUGAAUUUCGAGACUGGUUUACUGGUCGUGCUUUUGUACGUACUGGUAUUAUUGGUUUCUCCUUUCUGACGAAUCAUAAUGCCAUUAAUUUGGUGUUUUGGGGAAUCAGGACUGUUACUUUGAAAAAAUUAGAGUGUUUAAAGCAGGCUCACGCUUGAAUACAUUAGCAUGGAAUAACGAAAUAGGACGUUUGAUUUUAUUUUGUUGGUUUCUAGGAUCGACGUAAUGAUUAAUAGGGAUAGUUGGGGGCAUUAGUAUUCAAUUGUCAGAGGUGAAAUUCUUGGAUUUAUUGAAGACUAACUACUGCGAAAGCAUUUGCCAAGGAUGCUUUCAUUAAUCAAGAACGAAAGUUAGGGGAUCGAAGACGAUCAGAUACCGUCGUAGUCUUAACCAUAAACUAUGCCGACUAGGGAUCGGAUGAUGUUAAUUUUUUAAAUUAGUACUCCAUUCGGUCG
rnacentral:rRNA from 1 species